GACAAACCUCUAUUCUUAUUUUCACUCAAGUCCACAUUGCACAAUUACAAUCGAUAUGACUAAACAAUCUAAACAGUUGAACUUUAACCUGUAGCCAUUGAAAAUUAUAAAGUUGGAGAAGAACAGUAAAAUAAAUAAAAUUCAGAGAGAACUCGUAAGGGUGAUUUUCUUGGUUUUCAUAUUUCUAUUCCAAUCUAGCAGUUGCACUUGCAUACUUGCAUCUCAAGAUUACUACCCCAAUCCCCAUGUAGUUAGAUACUAAUUCCCCAAGCUCCAUACAUAACUGUUAUCUGCUGAUCAUCUCAAUAACAGAUCUUGUUUAUUUUAUACUGCGAAACAUCGAUUUCUUAGUCUACGCUUCUUCCUCAAUCAAAUGCUCAAAAACCAAACAAAAAGUCCAUUGUAUCUCUUCUGAUAAACGAAGAGCAGACUAUAAAUAUUUAUUCUCCCACAACAUAUCUAAAUAAGAUAAAAUGGUUAAAUAUCUGAACUAUUCCAAAUGCAAAACUAGUACAUUGCCAUCAAAAUCAACAUGCAAAUUCAUCAGCUCAAGUUCCUUUAUAAUUAUAACUCUCUUCACAACUACCUAGAAUCUCAAGACAUUCUCUGUGCAGCCUCCUUAGCUAAGAGCUUCUCUUUAGCUUUGGUCUUAGCCUGAGAUUUGGAGCCCAUGAUGCCACCACCCCACCUCUUGCGGUGCUCAUCAAACUUAUCAUUGAAAUUGGCCUUGACUGCCUCCAAAAUCUUGCUAAAUUCCAAUUUAUCUUCAUUCUUAACAGAUGUAAGGCACAAAGCUGCAGCUGUUUUCUUGUGAACAAUCGCUCCAAGCCGCGAUUUGCCCUUCACAAUUGCAUAAGGGACCUCCAUUUUACGGCACAAAGCAGGCAACCAAACAACAAGCUCAAUUGGAUCAACAUCAUG
rnacentral:misc_RNA from 1 species